GUGCUUGCUUCAGCAGCACAUAUACUAAAAUUGGAACGAUAUAGAGAAGAUUAGCAUGACCCCUGCACAAGGAUGACAUGCAAAUUCAUGAAGCGUUCCAUAUUUUU
rnacentral:snRNA from 1 species